ensembl:lncRNA
GUGGGUCCAAUUGAGGGGCAGUGAGAAGACUUCAGGCCUGGGACUGGAAUGCUACGUGGGUUCCAAGGCCAUGUUCAGUGGGUCUGAGGGAAGGAGGACUUCCAAGGAAAGGACCAGGAGGAGGAGUGGCUGAAGUCUGGUCAUCCCCUCCCUGCCCCACGGCCAUCUUCUUUUAUUCUCUGGCGCCGGCAGCUGGCCUUUAUGACAUCAAGGUCUUCAGCCAGUCACAGUGCUUGCCCUGUGCUGUCACCAUGGACCCUCCAAGGCAAUUUGUGGAGGAAAGCACCUUUGCUACCAGUGUAGAUAUGUACCUCUCUGCUCUUGCUGGUUAAUGUGCCUGGGCAAGGGCAAUUGUUUUAGUCCUGUGAACUUUAAUUUCUGGGAAAUUUAAUUUUGAGGAACGGUCUUUGUUUUUAAGGGCUGAGAAGUCCAGACUCAGGAGAGCUGGUACUGUAGUUCCAGUCUACGUUGGAGGCCAAAGGCACGAGAAGACUGAUAUUCCAGGCUGAAGACAGUCAUGAGAGAUUACAGGUUUAUUAUAGAAGGAUAUAACCCAGGAACAGCCAGAUGGAAGAGGCUCACAGGGUAGCAUCCAUGCCCCGUCUGAGUGACCAGUGUGCCAGCAUUUCUACGUGUCCACCAGCCCGGAAACUCCCAACUAUGUCAAAGAGUCAGUUUGGACACGGGAAGAAAACUCUAGAUACAUUUUUCUGGAUAAACGAGGUAACUGGAGAAAUCACCUACCCCCAGCAGAAGACAGACGCACCCGCAGCGUCACCAGCUCCUCUCCAGAAGCCAGGAGAGGGACCCAGAUCUCAGCGCGGGGCCCUGCAGGGUGCUCCUCCCAGCACCCAAGGCGCGGCCGGCACACUUGCGCAGAAGGCCGCCCCUCCACCCCCUCCUAAAGCUGCACGGAAAGACGUUGGCUCUCGAAACUCCUUCCCAGCUCCGCCGCCCUAUCUCCUGGCCAAAGAUGGAGCCCUGAGCCCCUCGCCGUUCUCUGCAGUUCCUGUCACCAUCUCGCCGCCAGGAGGCGCUGGGCCACCGUUCAGCCCGCUUGGGCCAGCCCUUCUGCCGCAAGCCUCUGCCUUUCCUCCCAGCCCUUCAGGCCCCUGGGGCUUCACCUGCAAGCUGAAAAACAUCCUUACUGGGAAUAACCGAUUUUCCUUUUGAGCCUGAGCAAAUACGCCUGACCACGCCCUCCAAGCACCUUGCUGAACCAUUGUCGCCUGGCACCAGUACUCCUUCACGCCAUAAAAGACCGGCCUGCCUACCCUAGAAGCACUAAGGACCCUUGGCAGAGUUCUUAUAAGAAUAUGCCCAGUGCUUUCAAAUCCCAUAUAAAUUUAACUUAGAUUUUGACACUU